rnacentral:rRNA from 1 species
GCAUAAGACCUGAGGGUUAAAGGGGGCCUCUAUAUAUAAGCUCUUGCUAGGAGAUGAGCCCGCGUUGGAUUAGCUAGUUGGUAGGGUAAAGGCUUACCAAGGCGACGAUCCAUAGCUGGUUUGAGAGAAUGGCCAGCCACACUGGGACUGAGACACGGCCCAGACUCCUACGGGAGGCAGCAGUGGGGAAUAUUGGACAAUGGGGGAAACCCUGAUCCAGCAAUGCCACGUGUGUGAAGAAGGCCUUAGGGUUGUAAAGCACUUUCAGCGGGGAGGAAGGUAAGCUAAUUAAUACUUGGCUUAAUUGACGUUACCUGCAGAAGAAGCACCGGCUAACUCCGUGCCAGCAGCCGCGGUAAUACGGAGGGUGCGAGCGUUAAUCGGAAUUACUGGGCGUAAAGGGCGCGUAGGCGGAAGAUUAAGUUGGAUGUGAAAUCCCAGGGCUCAACCUUGGAAC